CGACCUCUCCCUUCAGCCCACUCCACCAUCAUCUUCCUCUCCCAAUGGAUGGGUCGCUGCAGCUGCUCCAUCUCCUCCCAGCGCAGCGGCGAUACUGCCGUCCCACCCCUGGUGCCUCCUCUCACUCCUCCACCGAUCCCCACCCUCUCAGUCCCGGAUCCUCUAUCCCGGACUCACGAGCCCUUUUCCACCCUCACCCAAGAUUCAACUAGGUUGUAUCGACCAGGAAAGACGGCGAGGGUCGAGGCCAUUAGCGCUGGACUUCUGGCGGCGUCACCGACGGGCCAGAGGACUCCUGACGAUGGGGACUAGAACACCACCGCUGUAGAUGCCAUGCCAUACUUGCAAAGGUGCAGACGGAUAGGAAGCUUUCCAUGUUCAG